GGGAGGUCCACCCAGGUCUCCGGAGGGCCGGACCUCCUCUCCUGACCAGAAGCAGGAACAAUGUGGGCCAACCCGAGAAUAGUCGCCAGCCUACUCAAAAGAAUCGACAAGCUGACAGUUGGAAUCAAGCCUCUCCAUAUAUCACGGUAGCUUUGUAAUGAUGUCCCUCGAAG
rnacentral:lncRNA from 1 species